CACCAACGGUGCAUAGGUGGUCGGCCUCUUCCGUUGAAGGGCCGACGAACAGGGAACUCCGGUGCAAAUCCGGGACGGCCCCGCCGCUGUGACCGAGUGGAAGUAAGAUGGCUCACUCUUUUGGCCAUUGUCGUGUUUGACCCGCUGGGCAAGCACUGCGAGAAGGCCGGGCCAACUGAAGCUCGUUAGUCAGAAGACCUACCACGCACCGCUGAACGCA
rnacentral:ncRNA from 2 species